rnacentral:rRNA from 1 species
UACGGAGGAUCCAAGCGUUAUCCGGAUUUAUUGGGUUUAAAGGGUGCGUAGGCGGCCUAUUAAGUCAGGGGUGAAAGACGGUGGCUCAACCAUCGCAGUGCCUUUGAUACUGAUAGGCUUGAAUACACUAGAGGUAGGCGGAAUGUGACAAGUAGCGGUGAAAUGCAUAGAUAUGUCACAGAACACCGAUUGCGAAGGCAGCUUACUAUGGUGUCAUUGACGCUGAGGCACGAAAGCGUGGGGAUCAAACAGGA